CAUGUCAGAUGUCGAUGUUCUGUAUUCAUGUCUGAGAGAGUUUUGUCAGAUCUUGGUUUACUGUAUUCUGAGAAAGUUUUGUCAGAUGUUAGUUUACUGUAUUCAUGUCUGAGAAAGUUUUGUCAGAUGUUUCUUUACUGUAUUCAUGUCAGAAAAAUUUAAUUUUGAAUCACUGUAUACUUUUGGAUAAGUAUUUGAUAAAUUACAUAAACCAGCGUAGUCGGAUUGUAAAAUAUGUCAAGUGGUGUAUGUUUGACUAUUUGGGUUGUUACAGUCACAAGUUGGAAGUUGAACGUUUAGUUUAAGGCCUCGUGUCGAACUUGUUUUUGUCUGAAAGAGUUGCUAGAUCAAAUAAUCUAAAGAAAGAAUUUCUCUUGUAUACACAGAUACAUGUUCUAGAUUAAGUUCUAAGAAGUUAAAAACAUAUUUAUUACUGGCCUACUUGUACAUGUGUACAAUUAACCAUUGAAUCGAUACCUGAAACAUAUGUUUUAAAUGUGUUAAAAGUCAGUAAGUACUUCAUGCCAUGACACAUACAUAUUAAUAUUCCAUGUACCAUGUGUACAUACAAUUUAUUAUUUUAACAAUUAGAUUAGGUGAAAAGUAGUAAGCCAUAUUAAAAAGCAGAUAUGACAUGAUUUCCAAUCAGACACAUGUCAUCAAAUAGACCAAAGAACAAUGGUGUAAACAAGCUAUCUAAAAACCGUUGAAGUUAGCGAAAACGAGCAAUAAAAACUCACGAUUUACGAUUUACACUAAAACCUUUAAACGAUUUAAAAUAUGACACACGCCGGCAAACGACAAUCCCUGGACCAAAGGUUCAUGGACUGGGACAGGUAAACAAAGAAUGUGAAUGGGCUGAACAAUGGUUUACCUCAGUAAAGUAUCAAUCAGUACACAUCGAACGGAUUAAUUGUAAGCAGUCUGAAAUAAUCAUACGUUCAUUAUAUACCAAACUUUAAGUAUCAACACGAUAUAGGAUCAUAGAUACAUGUAUCAACAAUCGGACAGCAAAACUUGCUGUUAUGUAUCAAAUCUCCAAAAACAAAAUCAAUUCAAUAUCAUCGACAACGACAACACUUAAAUAUCUCAACACAAUGUGAAAUUGUAAAUAGGUUAGAUAUUUUAUUGUUUCUUUGAGAAAAUGUCACAUGCGCUUUAUCAAUCAAUUAUAACAGUAUCUAGGUUCUGUACUUGAAGUGGGAGAUGACGAGUUUCUUUUCACGUGAUGGUUUUAGCUAAUACAGACCACACACAUCGAUUUCUGCUAAAACAGACCACACACAUCGAUUUCAGCUAAAACAGACCACACACAUCGAUUUCAGCUAAAACGGACUACACGUAUCGAUUUCCAAUUUUUCAAUAUCAGUAUAUUUACACGUCUGUACUUCCAACAUUUUUCAUUUCUUGUAGAAAUUGUAGUCCGAAAGUCCGAAAUAUGUGUGGUAAACAGUAUAUAUUGCUGGUCCUUGUAAUAUCUGCAGUUCUAUCAGAAUCAAAGCGUCCGAAUUGCCGAAGAAUGGGAGGAAAGUGUAGAAGAUCUUGUAGUGGUGAUAAUGUACCACUACCUGACGGAAAAUGUUGUGGUAAAAACGUAUGUUGCAUCGAAACAUGCUCUAAUGUAAAUACAAAGUGCGAGCAGCCUGGAUCAGAAAGAAUAUGUGUCAGUAAGAAGGAUGAUUGUAAACCCAGUGAUGAUGCGUUAGAUACAACCACGACUGAAUUUACAUGUUGCUCAAGUACAUUAUUCCCGUACUGUUGUAGUCCAACUCAGUAAAUAAGAACGUCAUACACUAAUGUUUUUCUAUUUCUUUUUUUGUAGUAUUCACUGUAACAGUAAUUUUCUUGUUCGUAGUGAUAUCAUUUAUUUUAUUUUGGUUAUCACUUAAGGACUAGGUUCACGAAAGGCUAAAAUAGAUAAAAAGUUUUUUUUCAGGCUAAAUGUUUCUAAUUUCACAUCAAAAUAGUUGUGAUAUUAGUAUUAAUACAUAAUAACUUCUUUUUGGCACCACAAAAUUAUAAGUUACGAUCAUGUUAAAUGUGCAUUAUUUGUGUUGUAACAUCUAAUUUUAUAACCGUUUUUAGCUAAUUUACUUUGGCCGUCAUCCCUGAUCCAGCAAUUUUUUGUGUCUAGGAAUUCAAUAAAAAUCAUGGCACGUUUUGGUACAGAACAUUUUGGAUCGUAGGUUGCGGCCAAGGUUUACUUAAAGCUUUAAUGUUCGGAAAAUGCACAAAAUUACCGAAUUUAGGAAACAUCUCCAAAAUGUGUGACUUUGGAGCCUAUAAUAUACUAUUAUUAAGAUAUUCGUAUAAGAAAUACUGCAUGCUCAUAUUAACAUUGUAUUGUUAGAUAUAGUAAUGCGGAGUGGACUUCAUAAUUUUGGUUUGCUUGUGUCCAAUCCAUUUUACUUUGAAUAUAUAAAAUAUGUUUAAACUA